UACGGAGGUGGCAAGCGUUGCUCGGAAUCACUGGGCGUAAAGGGCGCGUAGGCGGGGAGGUAAGUCGGGUGUGAAAUCCCUCGGCCCAACCGAGGAACUGCGCCCGAGACUGCUUCUCUUGAGUCCCGGAGAGGAAGAUGGAAUUCCCGGUGUAGCGGUGGAAUGCGCAGAUAUCAGGAGGAACACCGGUGGCGAAGGCGGGUCUCUGGGCAGUAACUGACGCUGAGGAGCGAAAGCGUGGGGAGCGAACAGG
rnacentral:rRNA from 1 species